AAUCAACGCUGGCGGCGUGCCUAACACAUGCAAGUCGAACGCGAAAGUCCCGCAAGGGAUAAGUAGAGUGGCAAACGGGUGAGUAACACGUGGGUGACCUGCCUUCGAGUGGGGGAUAACGUCCCGAAAGGGACGCUAAUACCGCAUGAUAUCCUGCCUUUGAAGAGGUGGAGAUCAAAGCUGGGGAUCGCAAGACCUAGCGCUCAAAGAGGGGCCCGCGCCUGAUAGCUAGUUGGUGGGGUAAUGGCUCACCAAGGCAACGAUCAGUAUCCGGCCUGAGAGGGCGGACGGACACACUGGGACUGAGACACGGCCCAGACUCCUACGGGAGGCAGCAGUGGGGAAUUGUUCGCAAUGGGCGCAAGCCUGACGACGCAACGCCGCGUGGAGGAUGAAGACCU
rnacentral:rRNA from 1 species